rnacentral:tRNA from 1 species
ACUGAGAAGUCGUCCGUGCAAAUCGAACCAUUUUGACACCCAACAGCUAGCCUUACACCAUGAAUAAAACAAACC